UACGAAGGGGGCGAGCGUUGUUCGGAUUUACUGGGCGUAAAGGGCGCGCAGGCGGCGAUCUUUGUCAGGCGUGAAAGCCCCGGGCUUAACCUGGGAACUGCGCUUGGGACGGGAUUGCUGGAGACCGGGAGAGGAGAGUGGAAUUCCCAGUGUAGAGGUGAAAUUCGUAGAUAUUGGGAGGAACACCAGUGGCGAAGGCGGCGAUCUGGGUCGAUACUGACGCUGAGGUGCGAAAGCGUGGGGAGCAAACAGG
rnacentral:rRNA from 1 species